AAUUGUUAACCUUUGCAACAAGAGGCGAACGUUCUACAUUAGAUCUCGGAAGCUAAGCAGGUUAAGUCUGGUUAGUACUUGAAUGGGAGUUUACUUGGGAAUACCAAGUUUUGUAAGCU
rnacentral:rRNA from 1 species